rnacentral:rRNA from 1 species
AGAGUUUGAUCCUGGCUCAGAACGAACGCUAGCGGCGUGGAUAAGGCAUGCAAGUCGAGCGAGAAAGUACCUUUCGGGGUGCGAGUAAAGCGGCAAACGGGUGAGUAACACGUGGGUAAUCUACCGUAUGGUGGGGGACAACAUCGGGAAACUGAUGCUAAUACCGCAUAAUGUUACAUUGUCAUAAGUCAAUGUAACCAAAGGAGGGGAUCUUCGGACCUUUCGCCAAAUGAGGAGCCCGCGUCUGAUUAGCUAGUUGGUGGGGUAACGGCCUACCAAGGCGAUGAUCAGUAGCCGGUCUGAGAGGAUGGCCGGUCACACUGGGAUUGAGAUACGGCCCAGACUCCUACGGGAGGCAGCAGUCUAGAAGCUUCGGCAAUGGGCGAAAGCCUGACCGAGCGACGCCGCGUGCAGGACGAAGGCCUUCGGGUUGUAAACUGCUUUCGACAGGGAUGAACGGUAUGUAGGCCAAUACCCUAUAUAUUUGACAGUACCUGGAGAAGAAGCCCUGGCUAACUCCGUGCCAGCAGCCGCGGUAAUACGGAGAGGGCAAGCGUUGUUCGGAUUUAUUGGGCGUAAAGCGAGUGCAGGCUGUAUAGUAAGUCGGAUGUUAAAGACCCACGGCUCACCCGGGGGAAUGCGUCCGAUACUGCUAAACUAGAGUGUGGGAGAGGAAAGUGGAAUUCCAGGUGUAGCGGUGAAAUGCGUAGAUAUCUGGAGGAACACCGGUGGCGAAGGCGGCUUUCUGGCCCACAACUGACGCUGAGACUCGAAAGCGUGGGGAGCGAACGGGAUUAGAUACCCCGGUAGUCCACGCCGUAAACGUUGGAUACUAGGUGUGGGAGGUAUUCUACCCCUUCUGUGCCGUCGCUAACGCAUUAAGUAUCCCGCCUGGGGAGUACGACCGCAAGGUUGAAACUCAAAGGAAUUGACGGGGGCCCGCACAAGCGGUGGAGCAUGCGGUUUAAUUCGAUGCAACGCGAACCUUACCAGCCCUUGACAUCCCGAUUGGGAGGAGCAGAGAUGCACCUCUUCAUUUAGUUGGAUCGGUGACAGGUGCUGCAUGGCUGUCGUCAGCUCGUGUCGUGAGAUGUUGGGUUAAGUCCCGCAACGAGCGCAACCCCUGUUAUCAGUUGCCAUCAGUUCGGCUGGGCACUCUGAUGAGACUGCCGGUGAUAAGCCGGAGGAAGGCGGGGAUGACGUCAAGUCCUCAUGGCCCUUAUGGGCUGGGCUACACACGUGCUACAAUGGCAGAUACAAUGAGCAGCAAACUCGCGAGGGUAAGCUAAUCUUUAAAAUCUGUCUCAGUUCGGAUUGUUCUCUGCAACUCGAGAGCAUGAAGUCGGGAAUCGCUAGUAAUCGCGUAUCAGCAACGACGCGGUGAAUACGUUCCCGGGCCUUGUACACACCGCCCGUCACAUGACCCGAGUUGGCUGCUCCCGAAGUCGCUGUCCGAACCGUAAGGGCGGAGGUGCCGAAGGAGUGGCUGGUAAGGAGGAUGAAGUCGUAACAAGG